ensembl:lncRNA
GUUGGGAGCUCUCAGCAGCAGAACUGGAGAUGGCAGGAGUUGGAAUGUGGGCCAGGAUGUUUUCCAGUCUAAUGCAGCUAUGAAAACUUUAUGCACCGUAUUCUGAGUUUGCCUUAAAAAAAGAAGAAAAAAAAUCAAUAAAAUGUUAAUCCUAAGCAUGCUUACUGUGACAAAUUUAGUUAGUGUCUGGCAGAAAAGGGAGGAUAAAAAUAGUCACUUAAUUUUUAGUCUGCAAAUUGUAAGAUUGCAAACAGCAUUUGCUCUCAAAGAUGAUUCUUUACUUUGUUCACACAGCUGGAUUUUUGUGAUGUCUUGUGCAUGCUUAAAGAAAAUCACAGUCUAAUUGUUCAAACUUCAAACCUCCUGACGAUGAUGCAGCUAUUGUAGCAACUAGAAUGGAUAGAAAAAACAUUAGUAACAAAUGAUGCAAGUGCCCCCUAUGAUCAUAGAGUGCUGGAAAGCAGGAAAAUGAUUUAAUUAUGAUUGGAACAGUCAAAAAGCAAGAAACAGGCACUUUUAGAGCACAGAUUUAUCCUUUUAUUUUAGGCUGAGGAGGCUGACACCCUCUCUGAUCAGGCUUGGUGGGUUGGAUCCUGGUUUGGGCCUAGGGAUGGUUCCUCCAACAAGUUUUGGCAGCUAAUCAGACAGUUGGACUUCAAAUGCCUCUGAGGCAUUCACCUGAUGCACUUCCCAGCCACCGUGAUUUUACAGCAUGGCACAGUAAUGAAGCAGAUCAUGUGGCAAGAGAUCUGUCACUUCUUUCUUUUCUAAAACUUCAUCUUGUCCUGACUAUCACACAAACUGUGUACCGUCCUAAAGUGGUAUAACAAAGCAAACUCACCCUGAAAGAGCAGGUAACAUUCUGCAGCGGAUUGGAUGAAAAGUGUUUCCUCUGGGUGAAUGAAACCCCAUCUGAAUGCAACGAACAAACACUGUGUGUGUCGGUAUGCAUUAUGUAUGUACAGUACUUGCACUGUGACUGUUACUUUUUAAUUUUCUUAGCUGUUCUGCAUUUAGGAAAAUCAGUUUUGCUCUCUUCCUUCAGAAUGUUUUAAUCAUAUUUAUAGCAUUUAUAAAAAUCUCAUAUCUUCUUACAUUUCCUAAGACCUGAGGUAUGUAGUAAAUUUCUAGUAAGAAGCUUCUCCUUCUUUCCAACCUAACAGGAGUUCGGAC